rnacentral:pre_miRNA from 1 species
AAUCUACUCUCUCCGUUUCAAAUUACUUGUCGCAGGUAUGGAUAUAUCUAAAUGUAUUUUAGUUUUAGAUACAUUCAUUUCUGCGACGAGUAAUUUGGAACGGAGGGGGUAAUAU